AUGCACGCUGGCGGCGUGCCUAAUACCUGCAAGUCGAGCGCACGGACGAGAAGCUUGCUUUUCUGAUGUUAGCGGCGGACGGGUGAGUAACACGUGGAUAACCUACCUAUAAGACUGGGAUAACUUCGGGAAACCGGAGCUAAUACCGGAUAAUAUUUUGAACCGCAUGGUUCAAAAGUGAAAGACGGUCUUGCUGUCACUUAUAGAUGGAUCCGCGCUGCAUUAGCUAGUUGGUAAGGUAACGGCUUACCAAGGCAACGAUGCAUAGCCGACCUGAGAGGGUGAUCGGCCACACUGGAACUGAGACACGGUCCAGACUCCUACGGGAGGCAGCAGUAGGGAAUCUUCCGCAAUGGGCGAAAGCCUGACGGAGCAACGCCGCGUGAGUGAUGAAGGUCUUCGGAUCGUAAAACUCUGUUAUUAGGGAAGAACAUAUGUGUAAGUAACUGUGCACAUCUUGACGGUACCUAAUCAGAAAGCCACGGCUAACUACGUG
rnacentral:rRNA from 1 species